CAAGAAACAUACAUAUGCAUACCGAAAGCAUGAGCUACCAAGCGGCACUCGCCACACAAACACGCAGGAGUCGGUUUCAGUUACAACCACUGCUGAAAACUACCGCCCGACGUCUUCAGCAGCCUGUCCGCACAUCUUCUCCACGAAUCCGGAUCGUGGAGGUAGGCCUGAUCUCAGGUACAGAUUUCCUUGCGCCCAUGUCAAUGCAACCACCACUCUCUCUGUACUUGAGCAGGACGAACCAUGCAGCAAGGCCUUCCUCACAUUUUUUUCUGCUUCUGGAUCUAGACGUUGUUGUUGUGCCCCCUCCUCCCUCCAAGAGUGAUACAUCCUCUCUCUCUGUACUUGAGCAGGACGAACCAUGCAGUAAGGCCUUUCUCACAUUUUUUUUCUGCUUCUGGAUCUAGACGUUGUUGUUGUGCCCCCCUCCCCCCAAGAGUGAUACAUCCUCUCUCUGUACAUGAGCAGGACGAACCAUGCAGCAAGGCCUUCCUCACAUUUUUUUCCUGCUUUUGGAUCUAGACGUUGUUGUUGUGCCCCCCUCCCCCCAAGAGUGAUCCAUCCUCUCUCUGUACUUGCCAUGCAGCAAGGCCUUCCUCACAUUUUUUUUCUGCUUCUGGAUCUAGACGUUGUUGUUGUGCCCCCCACACCAAUGGUGUGUUUGGUUUGUGUAGUCACUCUAUGCUUCAUGAGGUGAUGCAUCAUAAGUUAAUUCCAUCAAUUUUGGUGGAAUCAACUCACUCCUCAUGUAUAUACUAAUUAUUAGCUUAUGAGGAAUGAGGUGGUGAUAGAUUAACCUAUUAUAUUUCACAAACCAAACAAAAAAGUGAGAAAUAAGAAGAAGAUGGAUCACUUUAUUCCUCAAACCAAACACACUCCAAGUGAUCCAUCCGGUGCAAGUGCAAUGUCUGAUGAAUCAGUGAUCCAUCCAGUCCGUGAUGGAAUGGCACAAGACAGUAACCUGUGGACGAUGCCAGCGCAAAGGAAGUGGUGCGCGACAUGGGCACGGAGGAGGCGCAGGAUGAAGAAAACGGUGUCGACAACAGGUCUAGGCGCGAAAGGAAGACGAAUUGGAAAUUCCAUGGGCCGACGUGGGCCGUGUAAAGUCCGUAUAGCUGGUCCAGGUAGCUAUUCCAGUACGGUGACGGUAGCACUGAGACGCUUUAUAAAUAUGUCCGAGACAAUGAACUCGAUACGAAGAAAAUGAACAUCAGAAUCUUCAUCGCCUAAAUUCCUUCUUCCCGGUUCUUGCUUCUUAUUCCUUUUGACGCCGAGAGCCGUCAACAUCUGGUAUCAGACUAGUUUCAAACCUAGAGGAGAUUCAUAUCAUACCGGGAUGUCGCAAACGGUCGUCGGUGGCCGCAGGAAUGGAGGCGGCGAUGCAGAAGGUGUUAGACGAAAUGUCUCCCAUGGAAGGGCGAUUGACCGGCACUAUGGUGGGACGUUGCGGGGUGCUCGAGCAGCGAAUCAAAGAGAAUGAGCAGAAGAUGGAAGCACGCUUCAUCGCUCUCGAGAUGGAUCACGCACAGCUCGAAGGUUGGAAGCCAGAUAUUGAGAAGAGACUGGAUAACCCGAAUCUAGAGAUACAUCGCGCCAAUCUCUUCAUGGAAAGGGAGACGAUGUUAAACGACACAUCCAGCCCGUGUAUCCUGCAUCCUUGGGGGUCGGCGACCAGACGCGAACAUGCUGCGACAUCUUACACUGGCGGGCACCUUAUACCGGCACUAUGGCCAUCACGAGAAUCAGCACCACCGGGAGCAUGGGUUUGGUCGAUAUCAGUACAAACUCGUAGUUUGGAAAAGCAAAUGUCAGCCUAAGCAUAGAGUCUUCUACGGCUGUGGCUCAAAAAUAGGCUAAACAUCAGAAAUAUGCUGAGAAGGAGAAACAUGGAGCUGGACUCCUAUUCUUGUGAAAACUGCCUUUGGCAAACAGAGGAGACCCUAUAUCAUCUAUUCCUCAGAUGCAACUUCGUGAAAGCCUGCUGGAACUCAAUUGGCAUUACUCCGCCCAGAAUUUCUAAUCCUGAGGAGGCAUCAGCGAACCUUAAACACCAGCUUAACGUUCCCUUCUCUAUGGAGAUUAUUAUUCUCAUGACUUGGAGCAUCUGGAAAAGCCGAAACGAGUGGUUGUUUUCAAACAAAGAUCCCUCGGUGCUCCGCUGUACGCAGGAAUUCAGUAGAGAAAUGCGACUGAUCAUUCAUAGAGCGCGGGGGAAAUUUGACACCUCUAUCCCGAAUUGGCUGAGUCUAUGGCAGACAUAGGAAUAGUGCUCUCUUAUUAUUUUCUUUUUAUUGUUUGUAAAAGGACUAAGUUCUAACCUUUUCUUUUCGCUUUCUAAUAAAAUUCGCAGUAGGGGUCUCCCCCUCCUGAUUCUUCAAAAAAUCGAAUCCGCAGCCUCGUGAUAGUUCUGGCUUGGAUCAUCAUUUUGAUUGGGAGGAUAAUCAGGAAGCAAAUAGAGGGGGUCACGGGAGUUUGCCUCGGAUUAAUUUCCCGCAGUUCGACGGUGAUAAUCCACAGCUGUGGAAAUCACGAUGUGAGAGUUACUUUGACAUGUAUGAGGUAGAUAGACACAAAUGGAUUAAAAUUGCGUCUAUUCAUUUUGGAGGACGAGCGGUUGGGUGGUUGCAGUCGAUCGGGCGCCGGAUUCAGUCCAUGUCUUGGUCUGAAUUUUGCCUCCAAAUACAUGAGCGGUUUGGCCGUGAUCAGCCCGAAUCUCUCAUUCGUAAGGUGUUCCACAUACGACAAUGGGGAUCGAUGGCCGAUUAUGUAGAGCAAUUUUCUACUCUUGUGGAUCAUCUUUCAGCUUACGAAGCCAAUGCCGAUCCACUAUACUGCACCAUGAGAUUCGUGGACGGCUUACGUGAUGAUAUUAAGUCUGUCAUAAUGGUGCAAAAGCCUUCGACUCUCGAUACUGCUUGCUCUCUCGCAUUGGUGCAGGAGGAAGCAGCGUCUUCAAGUAAAUGGCGACGUACAAAACCACCAUUUGGACGAACAUCUUACAAAGAACCAUCAUAUUAUGGCAAGAUGGACAAGGAGGAAAUCACGAAGAGCGGUGCAUAACCAGAUAAAUGGUCUUCUUCGGACAAAUUGGAUUCUCUGCGUCGUUUCAGACGGACCAAGGGACUGUGUGAUAAAUGCGCGGAGAAGUGGAGUUACAGUCAUAAAUGUGUGGCCAAAUCUCAAUUGCACGCCAUGGAUGAAGUAUGGGAAUUGUUGUCUGAAGAACCAGAAGAAGAGCCAGUGGUGGAGACAACUGAGGAACCAUAUGCACAACUGUUUCUAUCGGUUUCCAAAGCAGCAUGGCUGGGUUCAGAUGCUCCACAUACUCUGAAGUCACAGGGCAGUAUUCAGGGAAUACCACUAUUCAUUCUUAUUGACAGUGGAAGUUCUUAUUCAUUCUUGAAUGACAGGUGGAAGUCGUCCUUGCAAGGUAUAUCUUAGAAGUCUUCUUGUUUGCAUGUGCAAGUGGCUAAUGAAGCAGUAGUACCUUGCCAGCACACCAUAUUAUAGGCUAAGUGGCAGAUACAAGGGUAUGAGUUCGUGUCAGACUUAACAUUUUUUAAACUGCCCCACUAUGAUAUGAUCGUGGAGGUGGAUUGGGUGUAGAAAUGGCUGCUCAUACCAAAACAAGGAUCCACUAUUAUGCUACAAGGGUUAGUGCAGAAAGUUCCAAGUGCUACGGUGGUAGAGAUGAUGCUGAUUAAUAAUGAAGAUGCAGAAAAAUAACAGAGGGAACUGCCUACUCCUGUGAAACAGCUGUUACAUCAAUUUUUGGGGUGUGUCUCCCGACCGCUAGCCGACCCCUAUCGAAUGAAGCCGAACCCCCACUCAGAUUACCCGAUAACAGCUCAACGGAAACGUCAUGCUCGUUGCCCAUUGAGGGUAGCGUGACGCGUUCCCCCUCUUCCUCCUCACAGAGAGGCGACGAAGGCGCGUAUAAAUAAAAAAGUCGAGGUACCCCUCAAUUGUCCUUUUGCCCCGCGCAAAGGCUCGGGGGCUACCCUCGAAAAACCACACUGGAAGUUCUAACAGAGCGGCCAAAAGUCAAAUUGAACCCACCACACCAACGACGGUAAAGACUAAAGCCCCCAAAGGAGUCAACUACUCCUCCGGGGCCUCGGGGGCUACACCCGACGGGUGCGCUUGCGCGCACCUAUCGGAAACUGAACCUUCCGCUCCUAUAGCGCACCCACACAAGAAAGUGACAGAGCCUCUAUGCAAGUACCAAAGUACUUCCUUGGAAGGCUCGGGGGCUACUAUCAAGUGUGAUAAUUAGGGGUACCUAGAUUACACCCCUAAAAACGCGCUCAGGAAAGGUUAUCUGCCUAGGCGCAACCCACAAGGACAAGAGACUAGGUCACCUCCUUGCCCGAGGCCCACCACAGGGGUCUUCCCCAAAAAAGCGCCAUCCUAAUCGAGACCCCUCCCAGAGGGCACUCCAAACCCUCCACUUCGGGCAAGUCUCUGCCUCGCUCGAGCCUCUCACAAACUCGAGCCCCCCGUCUCCGCCUCGCCCGAGGAUACCUUGCCCUGGAACCACCAUAUCCGUCUCGCCCGAGCCCGUCUUAGGCGAGGAGGACAAAUCGCACCUGAAGGCCAACGGGAGACACUCGCAUUUAAUGCGCAUACCUACCCUGUACAGUGACAUGGGAGCACAGUGGCUACAAGACAACGAUCUCAUUCGGGCGCAACAACAUGAUUACGCAUGCGUCACUGUGCGUACACGCCGCCUGCCAUCCCUGGACAGGACGCCAGAUACAAUGGAAGAGCAGACUGGCCCUCGGGCGCAAAACUCUGCCUCGCCCGACGCUGGGCUCGCCCUCGGGCACCAUCUCCACCUCGCCCGAGCUAGGCCUCGGCUACCUGCACCACCGCGAAUCCCGUAGACGACCACUCCGUUAACUGUGGCACACUGAAAGCAUCUAGGCCUCUGGUUGAUUUUAGUGAUUAAUAACAACGUAAUAUUAUAUGUGACUAAUGUGUGUUUUGUAGAGCAAAUGGUAAGUUAGGUCGCAUUACAGGAAAUUGUACUACAACGAUGAAAACAAUCCCUGAGAUGAGAACUUGAAGCGACGGCUGAAACAACGAAUCAAAAGAUGAAGGUCUUCGUAUUCCGAGUGUCGAAGGAGUUGCGGACACUCGGUACAGAGUUAGGUCUUCUAUUUUAUUUUAGCUGUACUAUAAAGAGGGGUUGUGGAUGAGUAGUUUGACCAAGAGAAUUCUAGUGUAGUGUUGGUGCAUAUUCACACUCACAUCUAGUGCUAGGUGUCACUCUAUAACACACUCACGAGUUAGAACGAAAAUGGAUUUGAAAAACAGAAUGAAAAAGAAGUUAGGGUUUCUUUCUUAAGGGUACCAGACUGUCCAGUGCCCCCCUGACAGUGGGCCAGUCAGGCCCGGGGGCAGAGCCUUGCCCCCGAGAAAAAAACCCGAGAGCAACGAGUUGCGAAGUUGAAUUUUAGCCGACACACCGGACUAUGCGAUGUGCACCGGACAGGAACUGUUCACUGUCCGGUAUGCCAUCAGCUCAACGGCUAGCUUUCAGAACUAGCCGUUGGAGUCGACCGUUAGCGCACCGGAUUGUCCGGUGCGCCCAUGUGCAGGAAACCCUGGUAACGACUAGUUUGGUGGGUGGGGCUAUUUAUACCCCCUCCACCUACCAUAUUGAGUGUCUUGAUGCCCACAUUGAUGAUCAUAGAUUGCUAGAGCAUUGCAAGCACCACAAAGCUGUAACGCCCUGAAUUUGGGGGUAGAAUUUUUUCUUCUUUUCUCUCACCAAAUUCAGGCGUUACUCUUUCCUUUUUCCCUUUUCUUCUCGCCAAGCCUUGAUAUUUUCAAAAGCUAUAGCGAGAAUUAGCUCGACAUCUUGUGUAACCAAAACCUAGAACUAUUUUUGUUUGUUGCAUCAUGCCGGAUUAUGCACUCUUUUGUUUGUGGUUGAGUGAAGUGGAGAAUUAGACAUAUAAGAAAAUGAGGAAAUUAGAAAAAGAAAAGCCUUUUCUUUUUUCUCUCUCCCCCCUUCUCCCCUUUUGGCCCAGCCGCCCCCUUCCCCUUGGCCCAUGCGGCCCAGCCGUCCCCCCCUCCCCUUCUCGCGUGGGCCCCGCGGCGGCCCAACCGCCCCUCCCCCGCCGUGGGCCGGCCUGGCAGCCCAGCCGCGCGCCCCCCUCCCCCUUUGGGCCCAGCCGGCCCAACCGCCCCCUCCCUCUUUUCUUUUUUUUAAAAAUCCCCUCCCCGCGGGCCCCGCCCGUCAUUUUCUCUCUCUCUCCCUCUCCCUAAACCCUAGCGCCGCCGCCGCCCUAGCGCCGCCGCCCUAGCACCGCCGCCGCCCCUUCCCCCCGCGCCGCCGCCGUCCUCUCCCUCCGGUGAGGCCCUCCCUCCUCCCUCCCCCUCCCUCCUCCCUCCCCUCCCUCCGGCGCUCUCCCCGCGCCCCGUCGUGCCCGCCCUCGCCUCGCGCUCGCCCGGCCCCGGCCUCGGCCGCCCCUCGCCCGGCCGCACCCGCCCUCCCCGCGCCGCCUCCGGCGAGCUCGGCCCCGGCUCGGCCGCCCCCCGGCGGGCCCGUCCGCCCCGUCCGCCCCGUCCUCGGCCGCUCCGGCGAGCCCUGCCCCCGUCCGCCCCGCCCUCGGCCGCUCCGGCGAGCCCCGCCCCUGUCCCGCCCCAGGCCGCCUCGCCUCCAGCGAGCCCCGCGCCCGCUCGGCCCUGCCCCGCGCCGCCCAGACUCGGCUCCCGCCUCCCGGCGAGCCCAGCCGCCCCCCCGGCGAGCUCGGCCGCCCGCCCCCGCGCCCGUCCUCGCCCGGUCGUGUCCUCGCUCGGCCGUGUCCUCGCCCGGCUGCGUCCUCGCUCACCCGUGCUCGCUUGCCCCGGCGCGCUUGCCCGCUCGCCCCGCCGUGCCUUGCUCGCGUCGUGACGGCCCCGACGUGCGCACAACUAGUUCGUGGCGUGUACGUGCGGCCUUGCGCGCGUGCUUGCGUAAUGCGCAGUGCCUUGGCACGGCUCGCCGUGCCCUCGUCUACCCCCAGACGUCCCUGUCUACCCCCCCUAUAUUUUAUGCGUGCUAAUCACAUUGCUCAUGUUAAUAAAAUAGGAAACUCAACUUAGAAAUUGGUUACGUUAGUUAAUUUAUAUAGCUAAUCGUCUAUCUCAUUUAAUGUUAAUCUACUAAAAGUGGUCACGUUCCAUUAGUGCAUGUAGCUAAUCCUUAUCAUUGAAGCUAAGUAGACCUAGAGCACGUAGCAUUUAGUUGUUCGUCUACCCGUAGUGCACCUCGAGCAUAAGCUUUAACCCCUGCGAGACCUUUCCCCGUUUCUUUCUAACCAUGGUAAAUGCAAUAUCGCUUGUCAUAUUCUAUGCAUGUUUAAUCUACUUGUUCUCUUGUAUGGUGUACUGUUGGUUUACUAAUUUCAAUGGAUGGAUGUAUGUAUGUUUGCAACCGCAUAGAGAACGAUCUGGUUGAAGAGCCCGAGGAACUCGCAGGAGAAGCCCCUGAGCAGCAGUCGGUUGGUGGAG
rnacentral:lncRNA from 1 species